GUAAGGUUAGAGAUGAUAUGAAUUAAUGUAAAAUGCUUUUUGUUCUAUCUCAUUCCAUAGAUAAACCCCCAUCAUCCAAUGUUUAGAAUCACAUUACCAGCUCCUUCAGUAUCACUUCUGUAUUUUGUAUCUGCCUUUAGCAUUACUGAUACAUAUUUGCCAUAAUACAUCACAAUGGCAAGAUGCAUUGGCUUACUCUGCCACCACUAAAAUCUAUCCUUAUUUUCAGCUGAAUGCCUUGCUAUGCUGAUCCUUCACAUCACUUUGCUCCAAGUUUCCUUGGACAACAUACUUGACACUGUGCCAGAUACCUGAUAUAUGGAAAUUUUUAAAAGAGAAGUAUGGUCUAGUGCAAGGUCAACAAAGUUUUUCUGCACAGGACCAGAUUUUGCGAAUCAAGAGAGUGUUUCAUGGUGAUCCUGGGACAAUAGCAUCAACAUCACUUGAAUUGGAGGAAGAUGAUUCUUAA
rnacentral:lncRNA from 1 species